rnacentral:rRNA from 1 species
UACGUAGGGGGCAAGCGUUGUCCGGAAUUAUUGGGCGUAAAGCGCGUGUAGGCGGCUCGGUAAGUCUGCUGUGAAAGUCCAAGGCUCAACCUUGGAAAGCCGGUGGAUACUGUCGAGCUCGAGUCCGGAAGAGGCGAGUGGAAUUCCUGGUGUAGCGGUGAAAUUCGUAGAUAUCGGGAGGAACACCAGAGGCGAAGGCGGCCACCUGGACAGACACUGACGCUGAGACGCGAAAGCGUGGGGAGCAAACAGG